rnacentral:tRNA from 1 species
GAAGCCUUAGUAACAAAUAUUACAUAGCUCUGUCAGCGCUAAAUUAUUGGUUGAAACCAGUAGGCCUCA